rnacentral:rRNA from 1 species
GGCUCAGGAUGAACGCUAGCGGCAGGCUUAACACAUGCAAGUCGAGGGGCAACGCGAGUAGCAAUACUUGGCGGCGACCGGCGCAAGGGUGCGUAACGCGUGAGCAACAUGCCCGUAUCAGGGGGAUAAUCCAGGGAAACUUGGUCUAAUACCCCAUAGUAAUUUUUGUAAGGCAUCUUAUAAGAUUUAAAGCUUUGGUGGAUACGGAUUGGCUCGCGUGACAUUAGCUGGAUGGUAAGGUAACGGCUUACCAUGGCUAUGAUGUCUAGGGGUUCUGAGAGGAAGGUCCCCCACACUGGAACUGAGACACGGUCCAGACUCCUACGGGAGGCAGCAGUGAGGAAUAUUGGACAAUGGAUGGAAAUCUGAUCCAGCCAUGCCGCGUGAAGGAAAGAAGGUCCUAUGGAUUGUAAACUUCUUUUGUAUGGGAGCAAUAAGGCCUACGCGUAGGUUGAUGAGAGUACCAUACGAAUAAGCACCGGCUAACUCCGUGCCAGCCGCUGC